rnacentral:rRNA from 1 species
UUUUUUUCGAUUGGGACGCCUCCUUCUCUCCUGCAGAAACUAAAAAGGGCAACGCGGACUUCUGUCUGGCGGCGAGUGGCGAACGGGUGAGUAAUGUAUCUGAACGUGCCCAGUAGCGGGGGAUAACUACCCCAAAGCGUAUCUAAUACCGCAUACACCCUUUGGGGGAAAGCGGGGGACCUUCGGGCCUCCCACUAUUGGAGCGGCCGAUAUCCGAUUAACUAGUUGGUGGGGUAAAGGCCUACCAGGGGAACACCCAUAUCUGGUUUGAAAGGACCACCAACCCCUCUGGGACGGAGACCGGGCCAACUCCUACGGGAGGCCCGUGGGCAUUUUUGCGGGCACGCCUCGGGGGGGCCCCCC